UACUGGGCGGCGGCGGGCGCUGGGUGUCCUGCGCGGGGCGGGCCCGGCGCGGCGGGGCCCGCAGCGGAGCUGCCAUGGCCACGGCGCUGCCCCCCGCGCCGGCCGGCGGGAGCCGCUCCGCCAGCCGCGCCGCCGAGUCCCCGCUGAGCCCCGCGCGGCUGAGCCGGCUGCAGGAGAAGGAGGAGCUGCGGCAGCUCAAUGACCGCCUGGCCGCCUACAUCGAGCGGGUGCGGGCGCUGGAGGCCGACAAGUCGGCGCUGCAGCAGCGGCUGAGCGAGCACCAGGCGGGCAGCGACCGGGAGCUGGGCUGCCUGCGGCUCCGCUACGAGGCGGAGCUGGCCGAUGCCCGCCGGGCGCUGGACGACAUCGCCAUCGAGCGGGCCACGCUGCAGGUGGAGCUGGGCAAGAUUGGCGAGGAGCACCGGCAGCUGCACGUCAGGAAUUCCAAAAAAGAAAGUGAUUUAAACCUGGCCCAGGCUCGUGUGAGAGACCUCGAUGCCCAGCUAAAUGCAAAGGAAGCUGAUUUAGCAACAGCCCUGAAUGAGAACCGGACUUUGGAGAAUGAGCUCCGUGAAUUAAAGGAUCAAGUACUCAGUCUGAAUCUGUCACUGGAGGAUACUAAAAAGCAUCUCCACAGCGAAAUGUUGAGGAGGGUGGACCUAGAAAACCAUAUGAAAACUUUGCAGGAAGAAAUGACGUUCCAGAAGCGCCUUCAUGAAGAUGAGCUCAAAGAGACAAAAAGAGUCCAUGAAAGCAGGAUAGCAGAAGUAGAAUCUGGUCGUCAAAGGGAAUUUGAGAGUAAGCUCUCAGAUGCUCUGCAGGGCCUCAGAAAACAACAUGAAGAACAAAUUCAAGGUUACAAAGAGGAGAUGGAGCGAACAUUCAGUGCAAAGGUGGAGAAUGCCCAGCUAGAUGCAGCAAGAAACAUUGAGUUUGCCAAUGCUGCUCGGGAGGAGCUGAUGGAAACACAGAAGAGAGUUGAUACUCUGGUAUCUCAAGUUAAUCAAUAUCAAAGCCAGAAUGUUGCUUUGGAGAGCAGAAUAAAGGAGCUACAGAAUUUGCUGGAUUAUGAUCGUGAUCUCCAUCGAAGGCGUAUGGCUGAAAAGGAGGAAGAAAUGGCACAAGCUCAGAAGCAGGCACAAGCACAGCUAGAAGAGUAUGAGCAUCUCUUAGAUGUGAAGCUGGCUCUAGACUUGGAAAUAAAUGCAUACAGAAAGAUGCUGGAAGGCGAGGAACAGAGGCUAAAGCUGUCACCCAGUCCAUCUUCACACAGCACAGCAACUCAAGCAGCAAGUCAGGGGCGACGAUUCCUGCAUGGGAAGAAAAGGAAGCUCAAAGAAACCAAAAAGAGAGAGCAUAGUGCUGCAUUUAAGACUAUUCAGCAUGUUUCAGCUACUGGAAAUAUAUCUAUUGAAGAGAUCGAUGCAGAUGGGAAAUUUGUCAGGCUUAAAAACCACUCUGCUGAGGAUCAACCUCUACAUGGCUGGGUGUUGAGGCGACGUAUUGGAAGUGUGGCAGAUGUUACUUACAAGUUUCCUUCACGGUUCACUCUUCAGGCAGGCCAAGAAGUUACAAUCUGGGGUGCCGCUGCUGGUGUAAGCCCAGGUCCUAGUGAUCUGGUCUGGAAGUCUCAGAAGUCUUGGGGAACUGGCGAUAAUAUUGGUGUUACACUCAUCACAGAUGAUGGUGAGGAACUCGCAGAGAGGAAGAUAAUGCUUGUACCCAGAGAAGAAAGUGAGCAUGAUGAUGAUUACGAAGAAAUAACUGGAAGUGAAGCAGAGUUUGCAUCUCAGACCAAAAGAAGAAGAAAAAAGAAAUGUUGUUUGGUUUCAUGAUAGUGGUUCCUGUGAGCAUCCUUAAGCAGCAACUUCACAAUACAGUUGUGUGCCAUUUAUGCAAAAUGAAGAUCCCAGCUGUUCUGUCAUGUAACAUGGACAACCAUCUGAAAACACCUCUCAGUGCUAGGUGACAUAGACUGUAUGUGUGUUGGUAUCUUCUGUAAUAUCUGAAAUUUGGAAUUCACAUAUUCCAUCUGAUGUCUUUGUGAGAAGCAUUGUCCAUAACAUGAUGGAAUUUCCUACCUUCUGAUACUGGACCCUGGCCUUGGAUUCACUGAUACACAAAGAGCAGUAGAAUACAAGCUCCAUGUGAAGUUAUUUUUUAUUUUUACUUUUACACAAGGAUCUGGUUUCUCUGACCUGCUGAAACAGAGGAGGGUACAGAGUUUACAAAGCUUCUAAACAUGUGCCCUAACAGGAUGUUAAACACUUGACAAUGAACAUGAGGCUUCCUCAGCUUUCUCAGUAUUCUGAUAGGGUAUUCUGCAAAGGUAAUUUCUCUUUCCAGCCUGAGUGGGAAACAUGGGACUGAUCACACCCUUGCACCUUGAGCAAGUCUGAACUAAAACACUGUCCAGAAGAGUGAUGAGUGUCUGAAAUGUUUCCUGCUCAGCUCCUGAUGCAGAAAUACAUACUACAGGGUCUGGAUCACUUCCUAGAGUGAAACACUUUAGAAUUAAAAGCAAAUUGUAAAAAAUAUUCAAAAGUAAAGUUAUAAAGUAUAAAGGUAUUAAAUGUACUGUUUCUGUAGCCCAGCAGCUGGAAGUCCCUGUUUCAGUAUUGUAUAUUCCUAGAUACAGGGUAUCACAGCACAGCUGUGCCAGCCUUAACUUGGAAAAAUGUAUCCUAGAAAUGUGAAAAAACAUCUCAUUCUGACAGAGCAGGUACUGAGACCAGUGCUGCUAGCACUGUUGGAUUGGUCCAAACAGCUUUCUAAGGGGCUAGAGAGAAAAAUAUGCAAAGUCAAAAAUCAGAACUAGAAAGCCCCAACUGCAGUGAAAAACAUCAAACUCCUUGCUCUGGGAGCCCUUAUGUGCUAAAUGUCCAUGCAGGCUGCAGCUGUGUCUAAUGGGACUGCUGGGGAAAACUGUUUAUGGGCCAGUGUGCAGCUCCCUGUCACUCUGGUAGCUCUGUGCUCCAUGGAAAGCCUGGUCUGUAACCCCUGGGAGGGGACAGUCAGCCUCGGGGCCACUGCAGUCACUCUGUCUCUCCAAACUGCUCCCCUGCUGGCCCUGGAGGAAAGAAAGGGCUUUGAGCCCCUGAAGUGAACUUCCACCUGAGAGCAGGAGGGGAGCAGCUGAGCCUGCAGCUUUCUCUCAAUGCUGGAAUAGUGUUUUGAUUGUCUCUUAACUUGCCAAAGUGUUCAGUUCCAAAUUCAAGACCUGCUUUGUGUUAGGAUGCAGGUGUUAAGGUGAGGUUUUCCUUAUGCUAGCUUAAACUCUUGCAUUAUUUAAAAAUUCUAAUUUUGAGACAUCAAGAGUAGAUGCUGGUUUAAGACUUGGAUUUUAGCAGAUCCAAAUUCUUGUUCCACCUCAAACAAUAUAAAUAGCUGCUGCUCUAACUUUGCUGUAUUUAUCUUCAUUUCUUAAAACUUUUUUAACUAUUAAAGGUAUUUUUCAUGUAUAUAAAAGCAGUCAUGGAUUUAAGUAUUUGUAGAUUAAAUAAUAAAGGUCUGUCUGUUCACAUAU